AACAAACGCUGGCGGCGUGCCUAACACAUGCAAGUUGUACGAGAAAGGGUCCUUCGGGGCCUGAGUAAAGUGGCGCACGGGUGAGUGACGCGUGGAUAAUCUGCCCUUCAGUUGGUAAUAACUCAUCGAACGGUGGGCUAAUACCGAAUAAUGCUGUGAGACCUCGGUUGAUCAGCCAAAGAGAGCCUCUGCUUGCAAGCCCUCGCUCACGGAUGAGUCCGCGUACCAUUAGCUAGUUGGUAGGGUAAUGGCCUACCAAGGCGACGAUGGUUAGCUGGUCUGAGAGGAUGAUCAGCCACACUGGAACUGAGACACGGUCCAGACUCCUACGGGAGGCAGCAGUGAGGAAUCUUGCGCAAUGGGGGCAACCCUGACGCAGCAACGCAGCGUGAGUGAGGAAGGUCUUCGGAUCGUAAAGCUCUGUCGGAUGGAAAGAACCGCAUAGGGGUAAACAGCCCCUGUGUCUGACGGUACCAUCAAAGGAAGCACCGGCUAACUCCGUGCCAGCAGCCGCCGUAAAAC
rnacentral:rRNA from 1 species